UAUGCGCUUUUAUAAUAUCACCUUGGGCCAUCUCUUUUCCAUGCUAGACAGGCCAGCUUUUCUUCUAUGUGAGAUCUCCAGUACCUUCCCUGUCUUUGUGUCUUGUGCUGAACUUGCUCCAGGAUACUGAGGUCUCUGAUAAAAUAAGGCUACUGUUGUUUCCCAGAGUGAAUGGAGAUAGCUCUUCAAUAUGAAUAACUAUGAUGCUUCCCAGCUGGCUUAAGACUGUCAGUAUUCUGGGCAUCUUAGACCCAGGCUCAGUAUCCAGACGUGCCUCACCGGUGAUAAGCAAAGAGGAAGCAUUUUGCUCCUUGGCCUGUUGGCAAUGCUCUUCCUGAUGCACUGCCAAUGUGCCUGCAACCCAGGAUAUUGCCUGAGUUGUCCUACUUUGCCUCAAGGACAUGUAUCUUGGUAUCUGUUCAUACCCAGCUGCAGCUGUUGGCAGGUCCGAGCACACUGCUGCUCUGGUCCUGAGCCCACUCAUAGGUUCUUUGAUAAGUGAUGUUAUGCCUACAACUCUGGAUGGAUAUAAUGCUGUGGCUGUGCUUCUGCUUCUGAAAGCAUAAUGCUGCUACUGAAUUAUCCCAAAAGAGAUUGGCUGUCAAUAUUUUCAUUCUUAAGUAUGGCCGGUGGACAAUCUUUUUUGUUUUUCUUUUUACUAUUUGCAACAGCACUUGCCCAGCAAAGAAGAAACUGGGCUUCUUGUUUUUUUGGCAGUUCCAGAAAGCUCAAAAUCACAGCUUCCAGAAAAAACAAUCUCGAAUUAACUUCUUUUAUUUCCAGGCCAGUGCAUGCAUGCUGUAGAACAGGCCUGGCAUGGUAGUACUUUUAAUAGCUCAGCUAAGCUGGAUGCUGUUUGCAGGCCUGCAGCAACAAGCUGCCUUUCCAGUGGUGUUCAGAUACAUUGGCAACUGCCACUUUAUAAGCAGACAGAGAAUCACCCAAGCCUGUGAGCCCUCCAGUUGCCCAGAGUUACUGAUGCUUUGCAGGUUCUAAUAAAGAUGAAGGGUUACACUAAGCCUGGUGUGGCCAACCACAAAUCUAGUGACUUCAAAAGGUUUCUUCCCAUUGUCACCUUCACUGAAUUUAUUUUAGUCUCGGUGAAAUAAUUCUUAUGGAGUACAAAUUGCUUAGAGAGAAGCUAGUGGGUAGAACUUAACUGGACAAGUUAAACCUGUCAAAUAUAUGAUAAGUGAACUAAAGGAAAUCUAUCUAAUUUACUUUUUUUUAUUAAGAUUGUGGAAGUUGGAAUAGCUGCACACAGUGAAAUUUUUUUAUUUAUUUAUCUUUUUUUUUCAUUAGAAACUGAAGAUCCUGUUCAGGAAAGUAUGACGAGGACAUAUUAGAAAAAUGAAUUUCAAGCAACUUACCUGUAUUUAUUGCAAAAGCAAUAUGUCUUACUACACGGAGAGAGAAAAGAGUAUAAAAGCCCUGUCUGUUUCUCACUUUACUCUCACGAGACUGUGGAUGCAUUUAACCAGAGAGGGGAUACAACCAGAGAGAUGACUCAGACUAACCAAAGAGCUAUUCUGUAUGAUGCAGCAUCAUGCUCAGCAAUAAAAUGGAGGGAACAGAGCUUAGGGUGACUUGUCAUUACUUUCUACCUCCUGCAUUUCAAAAUGUGGUAUGUAGGAUCAGAUGUGGCUCUGACAGUGUGACAAGUGCCUUUGCCACAAUUACUUCAGUGUUUUCACCACCCACAAGGUGACAUAUUCUGAUAUAUGAACUCUGCAAUGCUAGAUUUUCCUAUCAGCACACGUUUGAGAGUGUUUUGUACUGCUGCUUGGAGUAUUACAACAUUUCACACAGAAAGUAAGUUUAUCAUAUCCACAAUGAUAAAGGAAAGCAUAAAUGCAUGCUGAAUAUUAUUAUUAAUAGUUACAGUAGUACAUAGUGCACUGUUUGUUGUUUGGUUGGUUAUUCCCAAAAUAAGGACUACAGUAGAGACAACAAAUUAAAGUUCAAAUUGUGUGAAGAUAGCAGCCUAAGGACCACUGCCAUUACCAAUAAAGAACUAAUUGAACACAAAUAUUUAUGAUAAACAGGGGGUAAAUAUUUUUUUUCCCUCAUGCAUUUUAUUCUAUUUCCAUUCCAGCUUCAUUUUUUUACCACCUGGAUUAGUUCUGGCAUCAUUAUAUCACAUUUUUUCUGUGUCAUUGUGUCAAUUCAUUGAUAUGAUCUGAUUUGAUCUACCCUACAUAAGGAACUAUCUUGGCUAUCACAGUAAACGGGCUCUGCAGAAUCACUCAAAAUGCUUUGUCAUUGGCUCUGUCUGCCUCUUGGAGCACAACCUGGCAGAAAAAUCUUCUGUGUGCUCUAAUUGUUCCCAUCAUUCUCUCCUCCAUCAACAGUUGCUACAGAACUAUGAGAACAAUUUUUGUUUAAAUCAGUACUGGAAGACUGACAUGGGGAAGAGUUUCCAUGCACAGAACACCAAAGCAAUGGCUCUGGCAAAGCACACUCAUACACUUCUUGUCAGCUGCUUUGAAAGUCUGCAUGUGUGCUGGAAAUGAGCAAGAAACACUUCCGCCUUCUCAGAUAAAUCAUAAUAACUAUGUAGUAACUUCUUUUACGGUAGCUGAGUUACUACUUUUAAGUACAUUUUGUCUUAAUGUAGUACUGAAAGUAGUACUGGAAGCUCUAAGAGCUACUGAAAUUGAUCUAUUUUCUUCAGCCUAAGAAGAACUCACAGCUGGAAAUUAAAAGCUGUGAAAAAGUGACACUGUUUCAUCACUGAAAUGCAUAGAUAUAAUUGCAAUUAUAUUUGCGGGCUAAACCAAAAGUUCUGAUUGUAUUGAUUGAAUGCUGUGGUACAAGUGGAGUAGGCCAAACUAGAAGCUGGCUGUAACUUCCCAUUAAAGAGAGACAAAGAAUCUCUGUCCAUUAACUGACCUAAGUUUCAUUAUAAAAGAAAACAAACACUCAGGUGAUAACUACUACAUCUUUUUACAAGACAAGCUGACUCAUAUGAAUUACUCAUGUAUGCUUCAGCUGAAAUUAAUUAUGCAAUGUGAUUUUCAUUGCUAAGAUCUUCUAUGAAGCCUUAAAAUAAAAAUAUAUAUGAAAAGAGUGUAUAGUAUAAGUAUAGUAUAUAUAUAUAUAAUGAUAAGUAUAAUGAUUUCACUAGAUGUGGGAAUCAAUACAAUUAGCAAUAUUCAUUGCAGUGCUCAUUGCAGUUGCUCACUGCUUGUUGCAAAACUUACUACUGGGACAAAGGAAUAUAAGCUUAUAUUUGAAGAUGGAAACUAAAAUAACCAAUUCAAAUGCAGUCUAAACCAUAAAAAUGGAGUUUGAGGUCUGAACCAGACUACUUUUUAAGGACAAGGUAUUCCAUGUGAACAGUAUGUCCAUAAAUAAACCAACAAUAUUUGGGAUAUUCAGAGUACACAGGAAAAUAAAAUGUGAAAUGAUUACUACACACGCUCCCAGAUUCUGUGGACUUCCAAUGCUAUAAUAUGAUUUACAUGUUCUUCAUGCAAAAGUAUGGAAUCUGAUGGAAAAUAAUAAAGACAGUAUUAGAAUGCACAGUUCCUUCUGUGUCAGAGAGGAAGAAGUAUUAAUCAGAACUACACAAUAACUUCAAACAGCUGAGAAUAUCCAUAAAUAUUGUUGAGAAGCAGAGCUUUCUGUGAAACACCAACUGGAAUGACAAAAUGGAGGAAUAUUACCAGAUGGGUAAUGACCAUUGCUGCUCAACAUGCUUUGUAUAGCAAUGAUAAUUCUGAGUGCCCUCAUCUACGUCAUCUACCUGUGCAAACUGUCAAGAGUAAGAAACAUUGCAGCUAAAUGGAAGUCAGAUGGCAAUAGAGUUUGACAUAAGAGUUUGUAUUCCUUUUGUUGUUGGAAAUAACAUGCAUAUUCAAGGUAAAAGAUAAGGACUUAUUUCAUAAAGGACACUUUAGCAACAAAAGCAUUGGUGAUUGAUGGGAAGACUUAUGGAUGAAGUCACUCAGACCACUUUGCCUAAAUGUUAAAGAUGAGAAUGUUUUGGAAUUGUGCAAAGUGGAAUAUCCCUGGGAGCCCACACAGGAAGGAAUGUAGCAGAGGGAAUAACCUGCAGCCCAAGAUGUAUUUCAUUCUGAAUUCAAAAGAAAAAGACAUGAAAAUUUCUAUAAAGGAAAGUAUGAAAAGAUCACAUUCCUGACUUUUCUUAGAUAUUGCUAUUGCAUUUCCUUCAGGACCGAUUUAUUCAUGGCUUCAGCCAAAUGUUUUCAAGGCCCUGACACUAUGUUGUUCUCCAUGGACAGACAUCUACUCUGUGGACAGACAUCUAAAACAAACUACUCCUCCUUUGGCUCUCCAGAGCUAUAGCUUACUUUCCAACAAGGAAGCUGAGAGCAUCUCUUUUUUUCACAAGAUUCAUAUUGUUCACUGUGGUGAGAGCAAGAGCUUGUGAGAAAACAAGGAGUGAUGCUGCAAAACAACAUAAACGAUGGCUUCUCCCUCUAUUUUAAAAUAAGCUAGGUUCUCUAUGUAAAUAUACCAGAUCACUAUCACUGAUUUGUAUUUUCAUCAUUUCAGUCCAGUAUGUUUUUUCUGUAAUUUUGGCUUUCUGAAGCCAAAAAAAAAAAAAAGAAAAAGAAAAACAAACAAACAAACAAAACAGAACAUAAAGAUCACAUAUCGGCAUGGAGAGUAUGUUAAUAUAUAAUAUUAAUACUAAUAAUAAAAUAAAAUAAUACUCCAGACUAUUUCUUUUUCAGAAAUGCUUAUGCCAUUGAGAUAAUUUAAUUCAAGUCUAUGGUCUGGUAUGUAUAGCAGGAAUCAGCUAAAAUGACCAAGUUUGAUUCUACCCAGCUAAGCAAAGCUCUUUUAAAUUUUCCUACCCUUAUGGAAAACCUCAUGAUUAAAUUCUGACUGUUUGAUUCUUCUCUAUCACACAGGAAGGAUACCAGAAAAACCUCACAUGAAAUAUAUUACGAAUAAGAACUACUUUUGGAUUAACUCUCAUCUUGUAGUAUCACAAAAGCUAUCUAACACAUGAAGACACCAGAAAACACGAAAUGUUAGAUGGCUCUUCUGUCAAAAUUGGGUAUCCAAAGCACACAUGUAUGUGCUCAUGUGCAUGAGCUCACACAUAUAGGAAAAUACAAAGUGACUGAGAGGUAGGAAGGAUACUUUGGAGGAUUCAUCUAAAUGAGAAGGCAAUACAUCAGCUGAUAUCUUAGAGACCUAGUGCUCUAUAACAUCCAACAAAGGCUCUGGAUUCAUUUUUGAAAAACAGUAAAAUAUUUGUACAGUGAAUAACAUGACAUUUAUUUUGGUAUUUAAGGUGCCCCAUCUUCUGCUCUUUCAAAAGCUGUCUUUCAUUUAUUGUUUAUUCAUUUAUUCCUGAUGAAGGUGAAAUAUCAGACUGGAGUUUCCACUUUACUUUUCCGGCAAACCAUUCAAGACAAAUUCUUCUAAUGAUACGUGAAAUUAUUAGGCAUUAUUUCUUAGUUAUCCCACCAUUGCCUUACACAAUAAAGAAUAUGAAGAAAAGAUAAUGAUACUGCCAUUCUGCUCUGGCAAAAAGAGGCUGUUCUGUGAAUUCCAGUUAGAGUCCUAGCAUGGUGUCAAGUGUAUAGAUGAUAUGUUUGUGAACACUCAUAUUAAUCAGCCUAAAAGUUUACCUUUUGAACUUGGAGGUAUACAGUGGGAUUUUAAUACUGAAGAUUUACCCAUUUUAUAACAUUUAAGAUUUUAAAGGUAAAAAAAACAGGUAAACCGGGUAAACAUAUUUAUUAACGCUAUGUCAGAUUUAGAAUCAGAGAGUCAUAGAAUGUCACGAGUAGGAAGGGACCCUCAAGAAUCGUCAGCUCCAAAACAGCUCCAACUCUUGGUUCCACAAAGGACCAGGGUACAGCUGGCCAUUUUGACUGCCAGGACACACUGUUGACUCAUAUUCAACUUCCUCUCCACCCUCCUCCAUCAGAAUAGCUUAAAAAAGGAGGCCCCAGAAAUCCCAUGCUUACACAUUAAAUGGCCUUCUAGGCUAUAUUCUGCUGUGCAACCAGAUAUCUGCUUUCAAAUAUGUUUUGAUUCAGAAAAACACCAUGGAGCUGCAUCAGCAUAGUGGAACACAGAGCAAUCCACUAUCCUUCCAGCAUCUGUUCUGAAAAUAUUCUUCUGCUGGCACCUACAUGUUCUCUCCAACCAUCUGGAUUCAUUAAUCUCCAGGUGACUGAGACAGAAGUCUAAGCUUCUAGCCUCCAACAAGGAUUUGCAUUUUCUCAAUCUCUGCUGGAGAGAAACAAACAUGGUUGCAGACCAGACAGCCUGCACAACACAAGUGCCACUCAAAAAUUUCUCAGAUAAUACCAUGAAAUUCCCAUGUUGAUAGGUAAACCUGAGCACAGUCUUUUGCAUGGGGAUCAGCAUGGAAACAUGCCUAAGUCAGAUAUUUUGCCCAGAUGGCCCUCUCCUUUCUAGGUAUGAAUGUAAUGUUAUAUAAAUGUCAUGAAACAAGCAUCAGAGCAACACAAAUAUUUUUUCUACUUAGUAGCUGGAAGGAAGGUGAAUUUAUCAGCUUCUGCAAACAAGUAAUCCUGGACAGUAUGGCAUGAUUAAAAUGAUCUCAAUCUUGUCUUAUGCCCUGAAAGAAAAAAACUUUCUGUUACAGGGCAGACAUAAUUCAGACUUCAUGCUGUCUCACUCUUGGGACUUAGCUGAGGAGAGGCUGUAAACUGUGAUUAAUUAUUUAUUGCAGGAUUGGGAUUUGAUGUGUGUGUGUGUGUGUGUGUGUGUGGGCAGCUCAAGUUCAAUGUGGACUGACACUGAGAAACUCGUUUUCCACCAUAGGAUGGAGUGCAAUUAGAGCAAAAACAAAUACUUCACUGGCUAAGUUACCAAUCCCUCUUUUUCUUCUUUUUCUUCCCCUUUCACUCUUUCAGAUAUUGUGCAUAUGGUCACAAUGACCCAAAUACAACCACAUAAUGACCCAAAUACAACCACAUAGUCCCUCCAUCUAUCUGCAAAAGUAUUUGUUCCAUUGCAGUGGAAAGCCACGACAUUUAUUACAUCUGUCUAAAAUGGACCUCAAAGCAAGCAUUUCAUCCUCUCUCAUGUAAUCAUCAUAAGGUAGAAAAUGAAAUUUCCAAAACCUAAAAGCAUGCUGCAGGAAGCUUCAGGGUACUGCAUGUCAGUUUUUACUUUGAUGUAUGCUAUGUUUAAAAAAAAAAAAAAAACUGUGGGGGAGGGGGCAAGAUGCUCAAGAGUGUAUUCCUUGAGAUAUCCUCUCUAUUGCUUAACUCUGUAGAUGAUAGCAGGAUUUGAUAGAUGGAAGAAAAUAAUCUUCCUUGCUGCCUGAAGUGAGAAUGGAAGUAUGCUGAACGCCAUAAGAACUUUAUUUUGUACUGAAUGGUUUCAUAUUCCCUCUUGCAUCUUAAUGAAGUAAGCACCACCUGAAGGAUCUCAAUAAAGAUGUAAUGGCAUCCAGAGCAUUACUAGGAUCAGCCAUUAAGUGCCAGCUACUUUGUUUCCUGACACGAUUUAGAAAAAUACGAGUUUUAUCUCUGACUAGCAAACUUUUUAUCACCUGACCCAGAAAUACAGAGGUGUCCUGGGGAGCUGGGAUUUAUUCUAAGUGUUUAUUCAAGGGCUGAGUGUUCAUUUCUGAAAUGCCUAUGGCUCUUUAUUUCCUAGGAGAGCAGAGUGGCACUCCUAAGGGUCAAGUGGAGUUGAAUGUCUUAAUCUCUUUUUUUUUAUUCUCUCUCUCUGUCUCUCUCCUGCCUAUUUAGUAAGAUGCUAAAGCAUAUGCUUCCUAGGCUCAGGAAGCUGAGCUGGAUGUUUUUCUCCCAGUGGUAAUUGAAUCCUUCCCUACCUGCUUUCAUCAUUUGGCUGCAUCUUCAAAAUAAGAGCUCCUCUUCUUACACUGUUUUACUAAGCCAAUUCUGUAUCUUCCCCCUCCUCUCUGCCACCUCCUAUUUGCACUUAUAACUACUGUCACUGUCAGCUGUGCCUGCCAUCUGCUUCCAAAAUAUUACAAAGCUGUAAUCAUAGGACAUUUUGAAAUAUAUUCAUACAAAUGAAAGAAUUUCAGUUGCCAUCAGGGGUGGGUUUAACGUUCAGGAAAGCGUAGAUCUCUCAGCAGAGGCUUUCAGAACCAGCAUGUGGCAGAGAGAGGUUGCAGUAGCUCUCCCUGCCCAGUAUAGCUGUCUCACCUUACUCCUGACCUGCCACCUUUCUGCAUUCACAAGGAUGGCCUCAGUUGAGACAAGCUAACUAAUUGUGCCAGAUUAUUUGUAGCUUAGUGGUUAGCUUGAAUCUGGGCAAGGAUGAGACUGAAGCAAUUUUUCACUUGUGCACCAAUUUGCGCCUAGCCUGAGGAAGUAUAUAACCACAGCAGUCACCUCUCUGUUGUCUUGCUUCCUUCACAAAUAGACUGUAGCUCAGCAUUUUUUUUUUUUUUCAUUCACAUUGUUUGGGAUAGGGAUUUCUUUAUUAAGUCCCAGCAGUGCCAAUAAUAGUGACCUGACCCUUGUAAAGAGUCUUCAGGUGCUACUGUAAUACAUAGUAUCAGUAAUCCUGAAUGUCAGUUGUGACCCAGCUGUAUAUUCCCACACUGAUAGGAGAUGCUACAGGCAUCUCCUGCACUGCUCAGUUUACAUUAACUUUCCAGCUUAACAUAAGAGGUUGUGAUCAGCUAUGUCUGCAUAACCAAGUGGUGUGGACCACUCUGCUGAAAGAGAUGCUAUAACAUGCAACAGCUGGUGCCAAGGAUUUACAUGCAUACUAUGCAUGUUUCAGGUGUUGACUUGUUUGCUGUCUGUUUGGUUUGUUUUUAUUUUACUCCCUUUACUUCCAGUCUGAUCUCCGAGUCUGAAUAUCCAUUUGGGACAGCAGUGCUCUAGGUACAGCCCUGAGAUACAUCUUCCAAUUAUCUGGUUUCAUUAAAGAUAAAUCUGAUUUAUACUCUCUGAGGCCACCCGGUGAUGCAAACCAAAGUGAGGAUGACUUUGUUGCAAAUGCACAUUUUUGAUCCAAGCUAAAAGACUGAUGUGGAUGCAGCUUAAAAACUGUGCAACCACAACACAGAAAGCCAGUUGUUCCUAUCUUGCUCUUUCGCAUUUCUCUGUUUGCAGUAUAUUUCACUGAGUUGGAAGCAAUUAAAAAUCAGUUUAAAAAAUUUAACUCGCUUACAGUUUAAUACAUUUGAUUCAUUAACAUGCCUUUUAAAUCAUCUCUGCUGGGUCUCCCAUUUCCCAUCUUGAAGUAUUUCAACAUUUUCAUAAAUGGCCCUACAUGAAGUCAGCACUGUGUGGGAAAGGCAAUCGAAACAAAAAAGAGCUGUUAUGUAGUCUAUAGAAACUAACUAAUCCCAAAAUGGAUUCCCUUUU